ACUUCGAUUGACAUUCCACUAUUCCAUUUUCCAUUCGCCUGCCCCCGCUUAUAAUUCAUGAGCCCUUUCCGUCUUCAUUUGGCGAUUUAACACUCGUCGGGAAUUCGUCUAUUCGAUAGAAGCAGGAAAGCAAGUAGAAAAUGGCGCAGUGGGCUCUGGGGCGUGGUUGCAGAGCUCUGAUGGCGUCCAGACCCUCGUCUUCCCCUUUCGGUUCUUCUUCUGUUUCUGCUUCCACCAAGAAGAAGACACGCAAUGCCAAGGUUUCCCCUAAUCUCGCAAACUUUCUCGGUGCUCCUUUACCCUCCCGCUCCCGUGCCGCCAGUAAACUCAUGAGGCACGUCAGGCUUAACAAUCUUCAGAAGGAGGAGAUUCGUUGCAACGAGAAGCUGAGGACCCUAUUCAAUGGAAAAGACAAAGUUGGAUUCCUGGAGAUUGCGAAAUUUCUGUCCAAGUACUUUGAGAAAUCUGACUGAUACUGUUGUCUUUGCAACAUAAAGAAAUCCAGUCUAGAUUGUCUCAUAUUUCAUCUGAAAUGCUUUCUUUUCUGGUUUGACUGUUUAAUGGCUUUGGCUGUCUACUGGUCAGGGAGAACGAAAACCAGAAUGUGCUGUAGAUUGCAGUUCUUUUGAGCGUUGUUUGGAUUUUGGAAAAAAUUUAGAGCAAGAAAAAAAUAUAAACAAACUUUUUUUUUUUUUUUUUUUCAUAUCUGGUUAUAUAGUGAGAAAAUAAAAUAUAUUAGAAAUCAAUGACAAAAAUAUAAUUUUAUACAUAAUUAAUAUUUCAUUUCAUACUUGGUGAUCUCGAGGUCACAAAUUUGAUUCUCCCUUGAAAGUUUAUUCGGUAAAUUAUUAGGGUUGCAUCAAUUGGUGAGUAGCAUUCACCCCCGGAUUUGGUGCUGCAUUAGGUGUCUAAAGUGGCAUGAUGGUGACAGAAGUUUUCGGAUUAUUUUAAUUCUUAGAUACUUUUGAGUGAAGUUGUAUUUAUUUUUUUUGGAUUACGCACUAGGUAUUCACGUGUCCGUUUUACGGUCCACGUAACUAAUCCUGCGUCCUUUGAAGUUGAUCCCAUAAUUCUAAAAAGAGAGUAAAUUCAGGAAUUCAGGGAUGGAAACGAACUCGAGAGAGUUUGAACACCUGACCUUGUGAGAGGCAUCUCCGUAGUCCGCACUACCACUUGAACCACAUGGGGCAAUUGGAGGAGAUUUGGGCUGUGGAACAGGUGGUGAUCCAAGGACCUACUAUGUAAUUAUGAUAUUUAUAAAGUUAGCCCAAUAAAACAAGAAAUUUUAUGUGGGCACAAAUAUGAAAAUAAAAAUACAUGAAGCAUAAUAUUUUAUUAAUAAUGAAAUACUUCAUUACAGGAGUCGUAAUCUCUUC